GGUCCUAUGUAGCACCACCCGGAGCAUCAAGCACCAAUAUUUGAUAUGCGACACUUUGCCUACUGGUCGUCAGAAGUCACACUGCGAAAAAAGUUCGGCAUAUCCCUCGCCUUGUGGGAAUCGGUUCCAUGCAAAGCAGUCAGCGAGUAGCUGUGCGUGCUGCAUUUUUUGGCUUUGAGCCAAGGAAUACAAAUGUAAAGCUUAUUAGACUGCUUGAAAAGCAGAGCUAACACUGGAACCGCCAUUAAAAUUAUCCCGACAUGACGCCUGAAUCAUAGGAGUAUCUCGCAGAUGUUGAACAGCUGAUGGCGGAAGGAGAAUGCCAAUAUCUUCCUUGUACAUUUCAAAACAAUUCUUGAACAUGUAAUUCCCGUCCAGAAGUGUUGCGUCCUUUAG